rnacentral:rRNA from 1 species
GCGUUGCUCGGAAUCACUGGGCGUAAAGGGCGCGUAGGCGGCCAUUCAAGUCAGGGGUGAGAGCCUGUGGCUCAACCACAGAAUUGCCUUUGAUACUGUUUGGCUAGAGACCGGAAGAGGUAAGUGGAACUGCGAGUGUAGAGGUGAAAUUCGUAGAUAUUCGCAAGAACACCAGUGGCGAAGGCGGCUUACUGGUCCGGUUCUGACGCUGAGGCGCGAAAGCGUG